UACGUAGGGCGCAAGCGUUGUCCGGAAUUAUUGGGCGUAAAGAGCUCGUAGGCGGCUUCUCAAGCGUGUGGUGAAAGUCCGGGGCUCAACCCCGGAUCGGCCGUGCGGACUGGGGAGCUCGAGUUCUGUAGAGGCGGGUGGAAUUCCGGGGUGUAGCGGUGGAAUGCGUAGAGAUCCGGAAGAACACCGGUGGCGAAGGCGGCCCGCUGGGCAGAGACUGACGCUGAGGCGACGACAGCGUGGGGGAGCAAACAGG
rnacentral:rRNA from 1 species